AGCAGUGCCAUGUGACAUGCCUGAAAGCCCUGCUUUGGUGAGUCAGCCCUGGAGUCACAGAGCUCAGGAGCCCAGGUUCCCCAGCUGCCUGGAUGGGAAACCAAACAGGGCUGAUGGACCUGCAUCCAGUUGUGUAUGUUGAUGAUCCAGCCUCCAGCCUCCAAAGCCUCCUACAUUGUUCAUUGAUUCUCCAAGAAAACUGGCAUGAGUUACUGGUCUGUAAGGAAAUAAUAGGAGACUGCUUCCUUGGUAUGUAAGAACUGUUCUUCCAAACUCAUGUAUAAGACUGCGGAUUGGCUCUUCAACUGGCAAAAAUCACCAUUCUUCAGCUGAAGAAAAUGAAUCACCCAUUUUAAUGGCCAUAAGGAAUGUGGCACUCACAGAUCAACAAAGAUGCUACUGUCCUUUCUGCAGCAAUGCCCAGCCACCAUUUCCUUGCUGGUCUUGGAAAUCAAACUCCACAACGUGGGUACUGAGAAAAUGCUGGAAGAUGAGAGGACAGCAAGCUCUAUCUGUUCACACACAGUGGAGAGAGAUCAGAGAGCCAAAAGGUACACAAAAAAUGGGGGGAAAAAAAAGAGGCAAGGACAGAAAGAAAGGA
ensembl:lncRNA